ensembl:lncRNA
UCUUUCCAUCUUUUGUUGGAAUAUGUUGAAGCAUUGGUUUGAUGUAAUAUUUAUCCCUAAACAGGCAUCAACACUAUUCUGAGCUGCUGACGUCUGGUCAGAACCGGAGUAUCCACUCUUU